ACGGAAGGCAGCAGUGGGGAAUAUUGCACAAUGGGCGAAAGCCUGAUGCAGCGACGCCGCGUGAGUGAAGAAGUAUCUCGGUAUGUAAAGCUCUAUCAGCAGGGAAGAAAAUGACGGUACCUGACUAAGAAGCCCUGGCUAACUACGUGCCAGCAGCCGCGGUAAUACGUAGGGGGCAAGCGUUAUCCGGAUUUACUGGGUGUAAAGGGAGCGUAGACGGUUUGGCAAGUCUGAAGUGAAAUGCGGGGGCUCAACUCCUGAACUGCUUUGGAAACUGUCGAACUAGAGUGCAGGAGAGGUAAGUGGAAUUCCUAGUGUAGCGGUGAAAUGCGUAGAUAUUAGGAGGAACACCAGUGGCGAAGGCGGCUUACUGGACUGUAACUGACGUUGAGGCUCGAAAGCGUGGGGAGCAAACAGGAUUAGAUACCCUGGUA
rnacentral:rRNA from 1 species